rnacentral:rRNA from 1 species
CCUACGGGAGGCAGCAGUGAGGAAUAUUGCUCAAUGGGCGCAAGCCUGAAGCAGCGAUGCCGCGUGGGUGAUGAAGGCUUUCGGGUCGUAAAGCCCUUUUCUCGGUGAAGAGGAAGGACGGUAACCGAGGAAUAAGUGUCGGCUAACUACGUGCCAGCAGCCGCGGUAAAACGUAGGACACAAGCGUUAUCCGGAAUUACUGGGCGUAAAGCGCGUGCAGGCGGAUUAUCAAGUCAUGUGUGAAAGCUCCUGGCUAAACUGGGAGAGGCCAGAUGAGACUGAUAGUCUGGAGGGCGUCAGAGGAGUGUGGAAUUCCGCGUGUAGUGGUGAAAUGCGUAGAGAUGCGGAGGAACACCAGUGGCGAAGGCGGCACUCUGGGGCGCACCUGACGCUGAGGCGCGAAAGCAUGGGUAGCGAACGGGAUUAGAAACCCCGGUAGUCCAUGCCGUAAACGAUGUACACUAAACGUUCGUGCUGCGAAAGCAGUGUGAGUGUUGAAGCAAACGCGAUAAGUGUACCGCCUGGGGAGUACGGUCGCAAGGCUAAAACUCAAAUGAAUUGACGG